AGUCGAACGAUGAAGCCCAGCUUGCUGGGUGGAUUAGUGGCGAACGGGUGAGUAACACGUGAGUAACCUGCCCUUAACUCUGGGAUAAGCCUGGGAAACUNGGUCUAAUACCGGAUAGGAGCGYCYACCGCAUGGUGGGUGUUGGAAAGAUUUAUCGGUUUUGGAUGGACUCGCGGCCUAUCAGCUUGUUGGUGAGGUAAUGGCUCACCAAGGCGACGACGGGUAGCCGGCCUGAGAGGGUGACCGGCCACACUGGGACUGAGACACGGCCCAGACUCCUACGGGAGGCAGCAGUGGGGAAUAUUGCACAAUGGGCGMAAGCCUGAUGCAGCGACGCCGCGUGAGGGAUGACGGCCUUCGGGUUGUAAACCUCUUUCAGUAGGGAAGAAGCGAAAGUGACGGUACCUGCAGAAGAAGCACCGGCUAACUACGUGCCAGCAGCCGCGGUAAUACGUAGGGUGCGAGCGUUAUCCGGAAUUAUUGGGCGUAAAGAGCUCGUAGGCGGUUUGUCGCGUCUGUCGUGAAAGUCCGGGGCUUAACCCCGGAUCUGCGGUGGGUACGGGCAGACUAGAGUGCAGUAGGGGAGACUGGAAUUCCUGGUGUAGCGGUGAAAUGCGUAGAA
rnacentral:rRNA from 1 species